CCUACGGGUGGCAGCAGCAAGGAAUUUUCGGCAAUGGGCGCAAGCCUGACCGAGCAACGCCGCGUGCAGGAUGACGGCCUUCGGGUUGUAAACUGCUUUUGGAGGGGAUGACUUGGACAGUACCCUCCGAAUAAGCCUCGGCUAACUCUGUGCCAGCAGCCGCGGUAAGACAGAGGAGGCAAGCGUUGUCCGGAUUUACUGGGCGUAAAGCGUCCGCAGGUGGCACGCCAAGUGGGGUGUGAAAGGUGAUGGCUUAACCAUCACACGCCAUCCCAAACUGGCGCGCUGGAGCCGGGCAGAGGGUGACGGAAUUGCCGGUGUAGUGGUGAAAUGCGUAGAGAUCGGCAGGAAGACCAAGGGGGAAGCCAGUCACCUGGGCCCGCGCUGACACUCAUGGACGACCGCGUGGGGAGCGAACCGGAUUAGAUACCCUUGUAGUC
rnacentral:rRNA from 1 species